UUACAAUAUAAUAUGUAUACGUAUAUACAUAUAUCAUUGUUGCUCUAAAUACAUAUAAAACUUUUGCAUAUCUAUUCAAUCUUACAACAACCCAUAUAAAGCUAGCGCUUCCAAUAUUCUAAUGUUCUCGAUGUCAAGGAUCCAAUCCUUUACAUAGUUCUUUCUAAUUUCACGCAGCUCCUCCUAAAACAAAAUAUAUUUUACUUUAGAUAUAAGUGUGACUAAAGUAUGAAAACUAUGGUUUGGGCAACCCAUGGUGGAGGAAAGACCCAAUGUUGGUGUCAUGACCAAGUUAACAUGGUGUCAACUUUGACCUUUGCUCGUUAUUUUAAUGAUAACUUUUCCCACCGACCUCCAAAUGAUGUGAUUCUUUUUUUAUUAGAAACUAGACUUAAAAAUCUUUCCAAUGACUAUUAAUUUGCAAUUUUUGAACAUCUCAGUAGGUACAGUUUAUUCCUUCAAGUUGAAGCUUUAUAUAUUUCAACCAACUCUGACCUUUGCUGGUUGUUUUGCCCAUAACUUUCUCCACCGAACUCCAAAUGAGUUGAUUCUUGUUUUGUUGGAAUCUAGACUCAAAGACCUUUCAAAUUAUGCAUUGGUAAUCAAGUUUAGGGAUUUUUGGCCAGUGUAAUCGAUUACAAGAACACUGUAAACGUUUACGCGCAUAAAAUUGGGGUUUUGUACAGAAAGUUGUACUGCAGGAGCCAAUUUUUUGUACAUAGGGGACCACUAUGUGAAUUGUCAAAUUUUUUUCAAAGUUUGAAGUGUUUUGUCCUGUUUUUGUUGUUUAGGUGUGUCUUGGGUGUGAUGAAUCACGUUUGGACACCCCAACUUGCAUAUAGGAAGCAAUUGUGUUGACUACAAGUAGUUGGUUGAAGUCCUGAAUCAAGUGCACUAAAAAAUGCACUGGUAAACGUUUACAGGAGGUGUGUAAACGUUUACGGGCACAAAAUUGGGGUUUUGUACAGAAAGUUGUACUGUAGGAGCCAGUUUUUUGUACAUAGGGGACCACUAUGUGAAUUGUCAAAUUUUUUGCAAAGUUUGAAGUGUUUUGUCUUGUUUUUGUUGUUUAUGUGUGUCUUGGGUGUGAUGAAUCACAUUUGGGCACCCAAACUUGCAUAUAGGAAGCAAUCAUUGACUUCAAUUGGACAACUAUUGCGUUUAUUAAAAGGAAUUAUUAAUAUCGCGCUUCAGUUUAUAAAUAAUACACAAACAACAUAAAUAAAUAAACAUUGGAUAUAAUAUUCAUUGCAUAUAAAUCAUAUGUAAUUUGCCAAAAAGUUGAAAUUUGACAUCUUGGUCCCCUGUGUACAAAAAAGUGGUCCCUUG
rnacentral:lncRNA from 1 species